UCUGACACAGGUGCUGCAUGGCUGUCGUCAGCUCGUGCUGUGAAGUGUUGGGUUAAGUCCCGCACGAGCGCAACCCUAUCAUCUGUUGCCAGCAUUUAAGGUGGGGACUCAGAUGAGACUGCCGGUGACAAACCGGAGGAAGGUGGGGACGACGUCAAGUCAUCAUGGCCCUUAUGUCCUGGGCUACACACGUGCUACAAUGGCCGGUACAGAGUGAAGCGAAACCGCGAGGUGAAGCAAAACGCAGAAAGCCGGUCUCAGUACGGAUUGGAGUCUGAAACUCGACUUCAUGAAGUUGGAAUCGCUAGUAAUCGCGCAUCAGCAUGGCGCGGUGAAUACGUUCCCGGGCCUU
rnacentral:rRNA from 1 species